CAGCCGCCGCGGUAAUGCGAAGGGUGCAAGCGUUAAUCGGAAUUACUGGGCGUAAAGCGUGCGUAGGCGGUGAGUUAAGUCUGCUGUGAAAUCCCCGGGCUCAACCUGGGAAUGGCAGUGGAUACUGGCUCGCUAGAGUGUGUCAGAGGAUGGUGGAAUUUCCGGUGUAGCAGUGAAAUGCGUAGAGAUCGGAAGGAACAUCUGUGGCGAAGGCGACUAUCUGGGCCAACACUGACGCUGAGGCACGAAAGCGUGGGGAGCAAACAGGAUUAGAUACCCCAGUAGUCCCUGUCUCUUAUAC
rnacentral:rRNA from 1 species